GACGGAGGGGGCUAGCGUUGUUCGGAAUGACUGGGCGUAAAGGGCGCGUAGGCGGUGCUAUAAGUGAGGCGUGAAAGCCCUGGGCUUAACCCAGGAGGUGCGUUUCAUACUGUGGUGCUAGAGUGCGAGAGAGGAAAGUGGAAUUCCUAGUGUAGAGGUGAAAUUCGUAGAUAUUAGGAAGAACACCAGAGGCGAAGGCGGCUUUCUGGCUCGCAACUGACGCUGAGGCGCGAAAGCGUGGGGAGCAAACAGG
rnacentral:rRNA from 1 species